AGAAAAGCUCAGCCUCUCCUUCAAAGGUUUUGGCAUCGACAACUCCUGUUCCAUCAUCCUCUGCUGAGGCUACUUCAUCCAAACCGGUCGAUGAAGGGGCUACUCUUAAAGAGACAUCUCCAGUCCCAGAGUCCUCAUCACAACCCAUGGAUGAGCCAUCUUCUUACUAGGACAUCAAUCCCCCAAACAUUGAAGCAGAAGGUAAUUCAGUCUUUUGAUUUCUUUCUUACCUUUGCUUGUGCUGUUGGUUUCUAAUUUGUUGCUCUUGAGUUCUGCAGAUACUCUUAUGAGUCCGCCCGUUGUGGCAACAUCUUCUCGCUCAGACAAGGGAAAGUCCUCGCGAAUGGAGGAGUCGUUGGUGGCAAGCUUGGCUGAGGGCAUGCCAUCU
rnacentral:lncRNA from 1 species